GCUUACGGCCAUACCACCCUGAGAACGCCCGAUUUCGUCUGAUCUCAGAAGCUAAGCGGGGUCGGGCCUGGUUAGUACUUGGACGGGAGACCGCCUGGGAAUACCAGGUGCUGUAAGCC
rnacentral:rRNA from 1 species